rnacentral:rRNA from 1 species
ACAGCAGCCGCCACGGUAAUACGUAGGUCCCGAGCGUUGUCCGGAUUUAUUGGGCGUAAAGCGAGCGCAGGCGGUUAGAUAAGUCUGAAGUUAAAGGCUGUGGCUUAACCAUAGUACGCUUUGGAAACUGUUUAACUUGAGUGCAAGAGGGGAGAGUGGAAUUCCAUGUGUAGCGGUGAAAUGCGUAGAUAUAUGGAGGAACACCGGUGGCGAAAGCGGCUCUCUGGCUUGUAACUGACGCUGAGGCUCGAAAGCGUGGGGAGCAAACAGGAUUAGAUACCCGCGUAGUCCCUGUCUCUUAUACA